rnacentral:rRNA from 1 species
UACGUAGGGGGCGAGCGUUGUCCGGAUUUAUUGGGCGUAAAGAGCGUGUAGGCGGCUUGGUAGGUCUGCUGUGAAAACUCGGGGCUCAACCCCGAGACGUCGGUGGAAACCACCUGGCUAGAGUCCGGAAGAGGAGAGUGGAAUUCCUGGUGUAGCGGUGAAAUGCGCAGAGUAUCAGGAAGAAUAUCCGUGGCGAAGGCGGCUCUCUGGUACGGCACUGACGCGAGACGCGGAAAGCGUGGGGAGCGAACAGG